ACUUUAACCCACCUCCAGGAUAUUCUGGUCUUCAUAGAAAAGGAAAAAGUAACUAGGUAACCCUGUUUAUGCACAGUGAGUCUCAAAUUAUAUGCCCAGUGGUCUUUAGCAACCCUUGGCCAACACUGGCUCUAAUUAUCACGCCAUUACUUAUGUUGUUUUAACGCCCUUUACCCUUGUGUCUCCCCACGGAGGGCUUUGGGUACCAUGACAGUUCUUCUAAGGGCCAUAAAAGGUCAAAAACUCCACCAUCCAAUGGAAGGGCAGAGUCAGCUGGUCAUGGGCAAGAAUAAAAUCUCAGACCAACUACUUGAAUGCUGCCCCAAACCCUGAGGCUUAAAACCUUCAACAACGCUUCCUCUGGGGUGUAAGCUCUUCUUACUGGCUCACCCUGUGGAGGGAGUGUACUUUCACCUUCAAUAAACCUUUGAUCUUGCUGCUCCUUUUGCGUGUCCUGCUCAAUUCUUUGUUCAAGACACUAAGAACUUGGAUAAGACCCUUCAUCGAGUAACAAUUUUGUAUUAUUUAACCCAAACUUCUGCCACAUGAGGAAGUAAGAAAAAUCUUUCCCUCACUGGCAUCUGCUUUUGUCUGAAACUUCUCAUCCAAACAGCUUAGACUUUCUUGGUAUUCUGGCAUAAAUACUCUGAAGAACCCAUUAGAAGACUUGAAAGAGUACAGAAAGAGGAAAUCUCAAGAAUAGGUAAGAUUCUGCUUUGUGAGAAAGGGAAGUCGUGUGUCUGCUCUCCGAAACUCUGUUCUCAGUAAAAGCACCAUCAGGUCAAGAAAACAUGUACGUCAAUCAGUUCCUCUUUGCUUAAAUGAAUUCCGCAUGAAUUGGUCAUUUGCAACCAAGAGUUCUGACAAAUACAUUGCACAAGAAAAGAGAAAUCAUGAAUCAUGAAAAAUGGAUCUUAAUUCCUUUAAGAUGAUGGAGCCAGCAGCAAAUCACAUCUCUGUGGUGGGAACAGAGACAUCUAGAGAACAACUUCUUCGUGAGAAGAAAGAGAAGAGCUCUGGGAAUCAAGAAAGAACCAGUAGGAAAGCUAAAAAUCACAGAGAACAGAAGACAACCAGAGAAAGGAAUGAAGCAGUGUGGAAAGCUAACUCUGACUCCAGGGUAGAGGGGAUCUCACCCCCAAACACAAGAUACCUUGAAGUCUGCCUUGAAGAGGGAAGAAACAAAGACAAGAGCUUGGUGGAUAGAAUAGACAUCAGAGAUGAGAAACCAGGCGUUAUAACACUGUACAAUCCAACGUGUCUCCCAUAUGUGUGGAAGAAUGAGAAGCAAGAAAAACCAGUUUCAAUCUAUAUUGUGUCCAGUGGGCAGGGAGCAUAUUUGGCACUAGGCUUCCUGCUAGAGAUUUCAGAUAUUGCCAGGCUGAAACAGUUCAUGCCUCUGGUUGUUGGGACAUAA
rnacentral:lncRNA from 1 species